rnacentral:lncRNA from 1 species
CUCACACUCUGCCCACUGACUAAUGUCAACAGUGUUAUCUGAGGCUGUCUUUCAGCAGACAUCGUUCCAUUUCACCGAGCCUUACAGGCUUACAAUACAAACUUGAACAGUCAGGAUGUUUCACUGCAAAUCUUUACAGAAGUGCUCUUCGACUGAUAGUCAUUGUGGAGGAAAAGAAACAAAUGCUGAACUAGGAGGCAACUUGGGGUUUUAAUAUGUUCCUUAAGUUUGCAUCCUCCCACCUUCCCUGGAUGAAAACCACUGGUGAUGUGAUUUAAUUCUUUUGGCUGGAUAGACAUUUUCUAGCUAAGAUCUCCAGGGAAAAGUUUGAGGGAUCACGAGAGAUGGAUGAAUCAUGAGGAAGGGGAUCUACAUAUUUCUGACCAGCUCAGAG